GUGGGGAAUAUUGGACAAUGGGCGAAAGCCUGAUCCAGCCAUGCCGCGUGUGUGAAGAAGGCCUUUUGGUUGUAAAGCACUUUAAGCGAGGAGGAGGCUACUUAGAUUAAUACUCUAGGAUAGUGGACGUUACUCGCAGAAUAAGCACCGGCUAACUCUGUGCCAGCAGCCGCGGUAAUACAGAGGGUGCGAGCGUUAAUCGGAUUUACUGGGCGUAAAGCGUGCGUAGGCGGCUUCUUAAGUCGGAUGUGAAAUCCCUGAGCUUAACUUAGGAAUUGCAUUCGAUACUGGGAAGCUAGAGUAUGGGAGAGGAUGGUAGAAUUCCAGGUGUAGCGGUGAAAUGCGUAGAGAUCUGGAGGAAUACCGAUGGCGAAGGCAGCCAUCUGGCCUAAUACUGACGCUGAGGUACGAAAGCAUGGGGAGCAAACAGGAUUAGAUACCCCGGUAGUCC
rnacentral:rRNA from 1 species